GUGGGGAAUAUUGGGCAAUGGGCGAAAGCCUGACCCAGCAACGCCGCGUGAAGGAAGAAGGUUUUCGGAUCGUAAACUUCUAUCCUUGGUGAAGAUAAUGACGGUAGCCAAGAAGGAAGCCCCGACUAACUACGUGCCAGCAGCCGCGGUAAUACGUAGGGGGCAAGCGUUGUCCGGAAUGAUUGGGCGUAAAGGGCGCGUAGGCGGCCUGGUAAGUCUGGAGUGAAAGUCCUGCUUUUAAGGUGGGAAUUGCUUUGGAUACUGUCGGGCUUGAGUGCAGGAGAGGUAAGUGGAAUUCCCGGUGUAGCGGUGAAAUGCGUAGAGAUCGGGAGGAACACCAGUGGCGAAGGCGACUUACUGGACUGUAACUGACGCUGAGGCGAGAAAGUGUGGGGAGCAAACAGGAUUAGAAACCCGUGUAGUCC
rnacentral:rRNA from 1 species